rnacentral:miRNA from 1 species
AGGUGCCAUUCCGAGGGCCAGGAGU